rnacentral:rRNA from 1 species
AACGAACGCUGGCGGCGGGCCUAACACAUGCAAGUCGAGCGAGAAAGCACCUUCGGGUGUGAGUAGAGCGGCGCACGGGUGAGUAACACGUGGAUAAUCUACCCUUAGGUCUGGGAUAACUCGGGGAAACUCGGGCUAAUACCGGAUAAGACCACACUUCGUUGGUUGAGUGGGAAAAGUGGGGGCCUCCUUCGGGAGCCUCAUGCCAAAGGAUGAGUCCGCGGUCCAUCAGGUUGUUGGUGGGGUAAUGGCCUACCAAGCCGAAGACGGAUAGCUGGUCUGAGAGGAUGAUCAGCCACACUGGAACUGAGACACGGUCCAG